CAAGGAUUCCCCUAGUAACGGCGAGUGAAGCGGGAAGAGCUCAAAUUUGAAAUCUAGUAGCCUUCGGCUGCUCGAGUUGUAAUCUAGAGAAGUGUUUUCCGUGCCGGCCCAUGUACAAGUCCCUUGGAACAGGGCGUCAUAGAGGGUGAGAAUCCCGUCCUUGACAUGGACCCCCGGUGCUCUGUGAUACACUUUCAACGAGUCGAGUUGUUUGGGAAUGCAGCUCAAAAUGGGUGGUGAAUUCCAUCUAAAGCUAAAUAUUGGCGAGAGACCGAUAGCGAACAAGUACCGUGAGGGAAAGAUGAAAAGCACUUUGGAAAGAGAGUUAAACAGUACGUGAAAUUGUUGAAAGGGAAACGAUUGAAGUCAGUCAUGCUCUUUGGUAUUUAUAUCAUUGAGUGGGGUCAACAUCAGUUUUGAGCGAUGGAUAAAGGCACUAGGAAGGUAGCACUCUCGGGUGAACUUAUAGCCUAGCGUCAUAUACAUUGUUUGGGACUGAGGAACGCAGCAUGCCUUUAUGGCCGGGA
rnacentral:rRNA from 1 species